AGGUGCGAUCAUACCAGCACUAAAGCAACGGAUCCCAUCAGAACUCUGCAGUUAAGCGUGCUUGGGCGUGAUUAGUACUAGGAUUGGUGACCUUAUGGGUAGUUCUCGUGUUGCACCUU